AGUGAACGCUGGCGGCGUGCCUAAUACAUGCAAGUCGAACGGAGUGGCGCACGGGUGAGUAAUAUAUAGCUAAUCUGCCCCUUGCUGCAGGACAACAGUUAGAAACGACUGCUAAUACUCCAUAGAAAGGGAUGACACUAUAUCGUAUUAGCUAGUCGGUGGGGUAACGGCCUACCGAGGGUAUGACCAGUAACUGGUCUGCGAGGAUAAUCAGUCACAUUGGAACUGAGACACGGUCCGAACUCCUACGGGAGGCAGCAGUAGGGAAUAUUGCGCAAUGGGGGAAACCCUGAAGCAGCAUCGCCGCGUGGAGGAUGACACUUUUCGGAGCGUAAACUCCUUUUGUUAGGGAAGCGGUACCUAACGAAUAAGCACCGGCUAACUCCGUGCCAGCAGCCGCGGUAAUUC
rnacentral:rRNA from 1 species